GAAUAUGAAUGUUUGUAUAAUAAACAUAAUAAUUUAUAUAAAAAUAUUAUAUACAAGAAUAAUAUUUGGGAAUUAUUAGCCCACCAGUAUAAUAUGCCCAGUUCAUCUCUCAAAGCUCUUUGGAAAAAUUUAAGAGAUUGUUUCUUAAAAGAGAGAAACAAGCUUCACAAACUUAAAAGUGGGUCAGAGGCUGGCCAUCAUAUUUCAUGACCAUUCUACCAGGAUAUGCAAUUCUUGGUAGAUACUGUAACACCAAGGUUACAGCAGUCCUCUUUAGAUAAAGUGGACUCUACUCCUACAAACGUCAAUGAGAUAUUAAAUGAAAUAUCAAAAUAUCAGGGGAGUUAUAUGAAUGUGAUCUCAUUGACAAUGAGAAUAUAAUAGAUGAUAAACUUAUUCCCAAA